GACGAACGCUGGCUGCGUGCUUAACACAUGCAAGUCGAACGCUGAAGCCCGCAGCUUGCUGUGGGUGGAUGAGUGGCGAACGGGUGAGUAACACGUGAGUAACCUGCCCCUGACUUCGGGAUAAGCCCGGGAAACUGGGCCUAAUACCGGAUACGACCAUCGGACGCAUGUCUGGUGGGGGAAAGUUUUUUCGGUUGGGGAUGGGCUCGCGGCCUAUCAGUUUGUUGGUGAGGUAAUGGUGCACCAAGACGACGACGGGUAGCCGGCCUGAGAGGGCGACCGGCCACACUGGGACUGAGACACGGCCCAGACUCAUACGGGAGGCAGCAGUGGGGAAUAUUGCACAAUGGGGGAAACCCUGAUGCAGCGACGCAGCGUGCGGGAUGACGACCUUCGGGUUGUAAACCGCUUUCAGCAGGGAAGAAGCGAAAGUGACGGUACCUGCAGAAGAAGUACCGGCUAACUACGUGCCAGCCGCCGCAGUAA
rnacentral:rRNA from 1 species